rnacentral:rRNA from 1 species
UACGUAGGGUGCAAGCGUUGUCCGGAAUUAUUGGGCGUAAAGAGCUCGUAGGCGGUUUGUCGCGUCUGCUGUGAAAACGCGGGGCUCAACUCCGCGCCUGCAGUGGGUACGGGCAGACUAGAGUGCAGUAGGGGAGACUGGAAUUCCUGGUGUAGCGGUGGAAUGCGCAGAUAUCAGGAGGAACACCGGUGGCGAAGGCGGGGUCUCUGGGCUGUAACUGACGCUGAGGAGCGAAAAGCGUGGGGGAGCAAACAGG